GAUGAAGAACGCAGUGAAAUGCGAUAAGUAAUGCGAAUUGCAGAUCUCAGUGAAUCAUCGAAUCUUUGAACGCACAUUGCGCCCCCUGGUAUUCCGGGGGGCAUGCCUGUCCGAGCGUCAUUACAACCCUCAAGCUCAGCUUGGUGUUGGGCCCCGCCGCCCCGGCGGGCCCUAAAGUCAGUGGCGGUGCCGUCCGGCUCCGAGCGUAGUAAUUCUUCUCGCUCUGGAGGUCCGGUCGUGUGCUCGCCAGCAACCCCCAAUUUUUUUCAGGUUGACCUCGGAUCAGGUAGGGAUACCCGCUGAACUUAAGCAUAUCAAUAAGCGGAGGA
rnacentral:misc_RNA from 1 species